CCAAUAGCGUAUAUUAAAGUUGUUGCAGUUAAAAAGCUCGUAGUUGAAUUUCGGGAUCAAUAUUUCGGUCAUGCCGUUGGUAUGCACUGUUAUCAUUGAUUUCUCACCUUCUAAAGAACCGUAAUGCCAUUAAUUUGGUGUUACGGGGAAUUAGGACUGUUACCUUGAAAAAAUUAGAGUGUUUAAAGCAGGCUCACUCUUGAAUACAUUAGCAUGGAAUAAUGAAAUAGGACAUCCGAUUCUAUUUUGUUGGUUUCUAGGAUCGAUGUAAUGAUUAAUAGGGAUAGUUGGGGGCAUUAGUAUUCAAUUGUCAGAGGUGAAAUUCUUGGAUUUAUUGAAGACUAACUACUGCGAAAGCAUUUGCCAAGGAUGUUUUCAUUAAUCAAGAACGAAAGUUAGGGGAUCGAAGACGAUCAGAUACCGUCGUAGUCUUAACCAUAAACUAUGCCGACUAGGGAUCGGAUGAUGUUAAUUUUUUAAUGACUCAUUCGGCGCCUUACG
rnacentral:misc_RNA from 1 species